UAUUGAUGUUUAGUCCUAAACACUAGGUACCAGGAAUCAUGUGAAGUAUAUUGUUCAUUGAAAGGUCUGCAGAAUAUUAUGAGGACCUGUCGUACUAUUUUUUCUUUUCAGGUGAAAAAAAAAAACCUAAAGCUCAGAAAGAUGAGGGAAUUUGCCCAACGUCCCAGGGGGUGCUGGCUCUCUGACUGCAGCUGUAACUUCAACUUGCCAACGUGCACCAUUGCUCACAAGAGGACCAGAUGAGAGAGUGUGAGUGAAUUUAUUGCCAACCCUUUCUACUCUCCAAACAAAACAAUUUUGUAGAUUUGUUACUGAUGCACCAUAGCGCCAUCUUCCUAUACAAAUGACACCACUUCAUUAUUUUCAGUGUAAAUGGUAACAGAGAUCGUGAAGAGACAGUACAAAUUAUCUUGAGCUAUUGUCCUAUUUAUAGAUUAAAGUACAAUUAUGCUUUCCGCUGAUUU